UCACACAGGGCUCUUUCAUGCAUGCAUGCUUGUGAUGUUUUUUUUUGCUUUUUUUUGUUUUUUUUAGUUAAAACCGGUUUUAGCAUGAAACACGAAAUUCAGAAUCAUACUUAACACGUUGUGCUUUGAAAAAACAUUUCAAUUAUAACAUUAUAUAUUUUUUUCUUAAUAUCCUUUCAUAAAAGUUAAAAUAUGGUUUCUCAUUUGCUCUACAGCUUGAGCAUCAUAUGUAAUAUUUUUUACUUUUUAUAAUUUGAUUUAAAAUAAAUAGACACAUGUAAUGAGUUCGUACACCUUCAUGUAAUCCUGAAAAUGAUCCAACAAUUUAUGGAGAUUGCUGAUAUAAUUGCACUUGAGAUGAUAUAGCAAGGGAGGAUAAAAGGCAUGGCCUUUGAAUGGCUUUAGGGUAGACAUCAGAUUGGUUUAGAAGAAUGUGUUGUAUGUGAUACUAAAAGUUGCUAGAGGAAGAAUAAGUACACACAUAGUGGGACUGGUGCUUCUUCUCAAUCAAAAAACAAACUUGAUAAUGAUCUUUUUUAGGGUCCUUUGGAUCACCCAAAACAAGAAGCCAAAAAAGCUGAUUUUCCUCAACUUGCAAAUCAAGGGAGUUGGCUUAAGAACACUCCCGGAAAAGGAGCCACUAUGAGUCGACAAAAGUCUGGGAGUGGAAAAGUUGUUGAAGCUUCUUUUUCAUCAUCUCCUUCAUUGAAAGGGAAAAGAGAUGUGAUGGCUAAACAUUCAGAGGCAAUGGACUUCAGAGAUUGGUGCAAAAAUGAAUGGAAGAGAGUUUCGGCGUCGACGAAAAUAUCAUACUAUACAUGACAAAUCACGUUGACGAUGUCCACGUCCGAACACUACAUGACAUGUUUGAGAAAGCAAAAACAGAUUGCUCUAAAUAAUAUGUUGUUGCGUUCAACUACUUCCUUUCCUAAAUUUCUAUAUAUGACCUAUCCAAAAAUGUCCUGUAUGUUAAAUAUGUCUUCAUCAAUAUAAUACUAUGUUGCAAUA